UACGUAGGUGGCAAGCGUUGUCCGGAUUUAUUGGGUUUAAAGGGUGCGUAGGCGGUCUUCUAAGUCAGUUGUGAAAUGCUUCAGCUUAACUGGAGAGGUGCAAUUGAUACUGGGAGACUUGAGUACUGAUGAGGUAGGCGGAAUGGACGGUGUAGCGGUGAAAUGCUUAGAUAUCGUCCAGAACACCGAUAGCGAAGGCAGCUUACUAAGGAGUAACUGACGCUGAGGCACGAAAGUGUGGGGAUCAAACAGG
rnacentral:rRNA from 1 species